AUUGAACGCUGGCGGAAUGCUUUACACAUGCAAGUCGAACGGCAGCACGGGGGCAACCCUGGUGGCGAGUGGCGAACGGGUGAGUAAUACAUCGGAACGUGCCCAGUCGUGGGGGAUAACGUAGCGAAAGUUACGCUAAUACCGCAUACGAUCUAUGGAUGAAAGCGGGGGACCGUAAGGCCUCGCGCGAUUGGAGCGGCCGAUGUCAGAUUAGGUAGUUGGUGGGGUAAAGGCCCACCAAGCCGACGAUCUGUAGCUGGUCUGAGAGGACGACCAGCCACACUGGGACUGAGACACGGCCCAGACUCCUACGGGAGGCAGCAGUGGGGAAUUUUGGACAAUGGGCGCAAGCCUGAUCCAGCCAUUCCGCGUGCAGGACGAAGGCCUUCGGGUUGUAAACUGCUUUUGUACGGAACGAAAAGGUCCUGGUUAAUACCCGGGGCUCAUGACGGUACCGUAAGAAUAAGCACCGGCUAACUACGUGCCAGCAGCCGCCGUA
rnacentral:rRNA from 1 species